UUUUAUUAAAUUUCAUCAUCACAAACAUUCUACAAGACCAUAAAUCAUCACAUAUAGCACUCUGAAAAUUUAGGAUAGCAAAAUUAAAAUGUCCUCAAGCAAUUCCUUAGAACAUGGAAUUUACUAUAACUGAACAUAAGCAUCUCUUAUUUCAGAAUAAAUGAUGAUAUCACCUGAUUAAUUGCCUACAUGCGGUUUCGAAGGUUCGGUUUUCAACGAAAAAUGUCUGUUAUUCUGUACAGUACACCAGAAUAUGUUAAUAGUAUAUAUAAUCGGACUGAUUGUCUAAAUUAGAAAAUGAUCAAUGCAUACGGAUUAUCGUUUUCCAGCUUAUUAGACUAAUAAAAGUAGCGGGGCCCGGUUUCCCAAAACAAUUUAAACAGAAAUUUUCACUAUUUUGAAAUUGAUAAUCGCGAGGCUAAGCAGUUAUAUUAUUAAAAUUAGUAGUUUCAGUUUGUUAUCGAAUUCGGUAACCCUACACAAUUGGACAGAGAUAAAUGGAUGUCAAAACAGUGUGAUGGAGCGAGAGAGAUGAAGGCGGUUCGUCGCGUGUUUAUCCUUUAAGAUUGCAACACAAACAUAUUAUUAUAUACGAAUAGAUAACAACAUAGAUACAUACAGAUAGCACAGAUAUAACAAUUUAAAAAAUGAGCAAUGAGUAUUAAAUAAGAAUUGUUACGAUUGGCGAGGCCUAAAGGUAUAUUUCUACACAUCGAGGGGUAAAAGGAUAUUUGUUUUAAGCGAUUAUUAUUACUAAGGAUUUCUUUUUUAUUGCUUAGUUGGGUGGACGAGCUCGCAGCCCACCUGGUGUUAAGUGGUUACUGGAGCCCAUGGGCAUCUACAACGUAAAUGCGCCACCCACCUUGAGAUAUAAGUUCUAAGAUCUCAGUAUAGUUACAACGGCUGCUCCACCCUUCAAGCCGAAACGCAUUACUGCUUCACGGCAGAAAUAGGCAGGGCGGUG